CUCAUGAUCCGGCGAAAUGCGUCUCUUUUCUGGUAGUGUUUCUGAUCUUUGCGGUUCUUCUUGGACAUCUGUCCGAAGGGGAAACGGUAGGCGGCAAACUAAAAAUCCCAAGACGAAGACCAAGACCAACACAGUGCUGUCCUCCAAAUUGCCCUUGCUGUGAUCCAUUCAACCCUUGUACAUGCUUCGCCCCGUGUCCACCGGAUUAUUAGAUUGCUGUCCAGUGAUGUCAUAGCCGAAUAUGGAAGAUCCUUCAUGAGCUGAUUUUGAAACUGUCAAUAUAAACAAGAAGAUGUCUGUUUGUCGAUUAAUUAAAAAGACUUAACACUUGAA